rnacentral:lncRNA from 1 species
AAAAAGAAUCUGGUUGAAAUCUCAGUAACAAUUGGCCUGUCUACUGCCUCACACUAACAAGUGACCCCCACCUUUACAAGUGUCUGUAAUUCUCACUAGCAGUAUAUUAGAGGGCAAAAGAUUUGAACAGACACAUCAGAAAAGAAGACAUACAAAUGGCUGCUAAGCACUUGAAAGGAUUCUGAACACCAUUAGUCAUCAGUGAAAUGCAAAUUAAAGCCAUAAUGAAUGGCGCUAUACAUUUUCAGAAUGGCAAGGAAUGAAGACUGAAAAAAAUCAAGCGUUGAGGAGAGUGACAAAUGGGGAGACAGCCGUGGUGCAUGAUGGCCGGAGAAAUACCAUGUGAGGAUACAGCAAGAAGGUGGCCAUCUACAAGCCAAGGAGACAGGCCUCAGAAGAAACCAACCCUUCUUACACCCUGGACUCAGACUUCUAAUCUCCAGAACUUGUUAAUGCACAAGGUCUUGUGUUGAAAAUGUAGAGCCACGAGAUAAAAGCAGCUUGGAUGGCUGACUCAUAUACAAGGGCAACUGCCUGAGAGUCACCAGGACUAUCAAGAAGUUUGCAGAAACAAGAAAUAAACUUUUACUGUUUUAAACUUUUGUGAAUUUUGGGUUUUGUUUAUCACCAAAUAAACCUAGUCUAUUCUGAUUGUUAUAAGUGGUUAAUUUGGGAAGUCAGAUAUAUUUAAAAUUGGCUUACUGCUGUAACAUAUACAGUCCAAAUUACAUAAUGGCUCCAAUGCAAUAGAAGUCUUUGUUUUUUUUUGCUCACAUAUCACUUCAUUGAGAUUCUGCAUUAAUUGUAAUGAGGAGGGUGGGGGUGUCUUAUAUCAUACAGUUGUUCAGCAACCCAGGAUGACCAACUUUGUAAUAUUUUUUCCCACUGGCUUCUAAAGUUCU